UCCCCUUUUUGUACUUUGUCUUUCUGAUGGCUCCUUCCCCACUCAGGGGCCUGGUGGCCUCUAUCUUUCCAUCCUGCUUUAAAUUCUAUCCUGAAAAUGAUCUGAUAAACUAUCUCACGUGAAUGCUUGGAGAUGUUCAUGCGGGUGUAGGGGGAAACCUGGAAAAUUGAGAUGCAAAAGAAUACAACGAAACCCUUAAAAUCAAAGGCAUUAUUGUUCUUUUCUUUUUUUUUUUUAGUUUUUGGUUGGUGGGGAGAAGAGUUUAGGAAAUUUGUCCUUGGCUGACUUGGGGAGGUGGGAAGCAGAAUCCAGUUCUCUCUACGGUCUCCAUUUCCCUCCCCUCCUCUGACCAUCAGAGCCCCCGAGACCAGCUCUCUGGGUCAUAGACUCCCAGCAGCCUUGCAGGUCUGGCCAUAAAGCUCAGGGGUGAUUGAGUUCGCACUGAGAAACAACUCUGAGGGUUAACUCUCAGUUUCUUAGUAGUUGGAGAAAGAAGUGUGUCACUGCCGAAGGCUCUGGGAAUGUGUCUGAAGCUGUGCUUAAAGAGGCUGUGUGAAAGGAGAGAUAUAAGAAGAUCAAAGUGAGCCUUCAAGAGUCAGAAUCUGCCCAGAACUGGACAACUUCUGAUAGCAGUGGAGGGAGCAGCUAGAGGUUUUCAAGAACACAUCUCCUGCAUUACGAGAAACACUACAAAAAAGUCCAAGGCCUAAACACUUAAAGCAGCCGAGCAGCCCAUCUGGGAAACAACUCCGGAACUCCUUCAGACAAACUUGCCGUGGCAGGGUGACCCAGCGUCCCUGAGCCCCUGCCAGCUCUUUUGCGGCUGGUAUUUUUUCACGGAUGCUCCCUGGUGAGCAGCAAUUUCCGGAUAUUUUCAAAUGAUUUUCAUCCUGCCAGCUGGGCACAGUUCAGGGAGCAGAGCAUGGAGAACUCAGCUGGAUGGCCCAAUCAAAGAUGGCUUGCUGACCUGCUUUGGAUUAGACUGGAUUGUGUGAGCCUUGCCGUGAGGUGGCGUUUGUGUACUAUGGUCAAAGAAUGCUGCCCUCAUUUGUUAAGGAAAAAAAGAAAAAGAAAAAACUACCAGAGAGUAAAACAACUCAUAAAACUGUCAUGAAUAAUUCCAGCAGCUGGGCUGAAAUGGAAGGCUGCUCAAAGUACCUCUGGUUCUCCGUGACAAAGGUGAGCUUUUAUAGAUUAAGAUUAUAGGCUUACCUGUGAACACUGGGACUCAUAACUCAAUUUACAGAUUCUUUAGAGCUGAAGGAAUAUUUGUAGAGCUGACUCUCUGGGAUUUGUUACAGGCACCAGGAUCUUCAUGAGCUAUGGAAGGCCGCAAGAUCUGGCCGAGACGGUCCGACAGGAAUGAGAGUUCUCAGACCUGCACAGAACCUGUGACCAACUUACUCUCAGCCAACAGUUGCAUUGUGGGAACUCUUUGAAAUUGAGGGGAAAAUCCCCUAAUUAAAAGGUUCCUAAUCUCAGUUUCUGCUUAGGAAUUCCUUCUGGCACAUAUUAAACACACAGAUUUCUGGACUUCAACUUCAGAGAUCCUAAUGCCAGGAUCAUCAGUGGAGCCCAAGAGUCUACAUUUAAGAAGCUGUCUAGAAUGGACAAUUAGUCAGCUAUAUAAAUAAAAGAAAAUACUAGUGUAAGAAACA
rnacentral:lncRNA from 1 species